AUAAUGUAAAGUAAAGUGACACUAGAGUUAGUGUGUGUGGCAUCAAAGUGAAACAUGACGCAAAGAACAAUGAUAAUGAUUAGAGACAAGAAAGAAAAUGAAAGUGGCAUAAAGAACGAGUAAAGUUAAAGAACAAUGAUUGCUAGAGUUAGCAAAAUAAAGUGAUGUAAAGAAUACUAGAGUUAGUGUAAAGACAAUGAUUGAACUGUAUAUCUUUAA
rnacentral:lncRNA from 1 species